rnacentral:tRNA from 1 species
ACCCGGUUAGCUCAGUUGGUAGAGCGCCAGUCUUUUAAAGCAUUUGUGCUACUGAAAACUGGUGGUCGGGGGUUCAAGUCCCUCAUCGGGUG